rnacentral:pre_miRNA from 1 species
AGGAACAACCCCAGUGGCGGAGGCAGCUCUGGAGCCUGGAGUCAGCUCCCGCAGUAACUAAGGAGCUCUCGGUCUGCAGGGCGGGGAGGCUCCGGGGCGGG